UACAGAGGGUGCGAGCGUUGUCCGGAAUCACUGGGCGUAAAGGGCGCGUAGGCGGCUCGGUAAGCGUGCGGUGAAAGCCCGGGGCUCAACCCCGGGUCGGCCGUGCGAACUGCGGAGCUGGAGCACUGUAGAGGCAGGUGGAAUUCCGGGUGUAGCGGUGGAAUGCGUAGAGAUCCGGAAGAACACCCGUGGCGAAGGCGGCUCUCUGGGACGGUACUGACGCUGAGACGCGAAAGCGUGGGGAGCGAACAGG
rnacentral:rRNA from 1 species